UAAUUAUAGUAUAUUGUAUAUUUGACUUCCAAUCAAAAGGAUCCGGUAGGAUAAUUAU
rnacentral:tRNA from 1 species